CUGCAGCCAAUUAAGCCAACCAGGGUUAUUUCCUCAUGGGGGCCUGGUGUGUGGUUGCUGCAAACAGCAUCCUCCUUGGUAGUGUAUGUAGCCUGUUUCAUGUAUAGGUUGCCCUAAGGAAUAUUGGAGACAGUU
ensembl:snoRNA SNORA70 Small nucleolar RNA SNORA70